rnacentral:rRNA from 1 species
AUUGAACGCUGGCGGCAGGCCUAACACAUGCAAGUCGAGCGAGCGGCGGACGGGUGAGUAAUGUAUGGGGACUGCCCGAUAGAGGGGGAUAACUACUGGAAACGGUAGCUAAUACCGCAUAUCAUCGGAUUGCCCAGAUGGGAUUAGCUAGUAGGUGGGGUAAAGGCUCACCUAGGCGACGAUCCCUAGCUGGUCUGAGAGGAUGACCAGACACAAUGGAAAUGAGACACGGUCCAGACGCCUACGGAGGCAGCAGUGGGGAAUAUUGCACAAGGGGCGCAAGCCUGAUGCAGCCAUGCCGCGUGUAUGAAGAAGGCCCUAGGGUUGUAAAGUACUUUCAGUCGGGAGGCGUUACCGACAGAAGAAGAACCGGCUAACUCCGUGCCAGCAGCCGCGGUAAUAC